rnacentral:rRNA from 1 species
UACGAGGGGGGCGAGCGUUGUCCGGAAUUAUUGGGCGUAAAGAGCUCGUAGGCGGUCUGUCGCGUCGGCUGUGAAAACCCGGAGCUCAACUCCGGGCCUGCAGUCGAUACGGGCAGACUGGAGUUCGGCAGGGGAGACUGGAAUUCCUGGUGUAGCGGUGAAAUGCGCAGAUAUCAGGAGGAACACCGGUGGCGAAGGCGGGUCUCUGGGCCGAUACUGACGCUGAGGAGCGAAAGCGUGGGGAGCGAACAGG